rnacentral:rRNA from 1 species
AACGAACGCUGGCGGCAGGCUUAACACAUGCAAGUCGAACGGGUGCAGCAAUGCAUCAGUGGCAGACGGGUGAGUAACACGUGGGAACCUUCCUAGGGGUACGGAACAACUCAGGGAAACUUGAGCUAAUACCGUAUACGUCCGUGAGGAGAAAGAUUUAUCGCCCUUAGACGGGCCCGCGUCGGAUUAGCUAGUUGGUGGGGUAACGGCCUACCAAGGCGACGAUCCGUAGCUGAUCUUAGAGGAUGAUCAGCCACACUGGGACUGAGACACGGCCCAGACUCCUACGGGAGGCAGCAGUGGGGAAUCUUGGACAAUGGGCGCAAGCCUGAUCCAGCCAUGCCGCGUGAGUGAAGAAGGUCUUCGGAUUGUAAAGCUCUUUUGCCAGGGACGAUAAUGACGGUACCUGGAGAAUAAGCCCCGGCAAACUUCGUGCCAGCCGCCGCCGUAACAC